rnacentral:rRNA from 1 species
CAAUAGCUAAAUAAGAGCGUAUGGGGAAUGCCUAGGCUCUCAGAGGCGAUGAAGGACGUGAUAAGCUGCGAAAAGCUGCGGGGAUUGGCACAUACAAAUUGAUCCGCAGAUAUCCGAAUGGGGCAACCCAGCAUGUUGAAGACAUGUUAUCCGCAAGGAGGCGAACCCGGAGAACUGAAACAUCUAAGUACCCGGAGGAGAAGAAAACAAAAGUGAUUCCGAUAGUAGCGGCGAGCGAACUCGGAAUAGCCCAAACCAGUAUUGUUACGGCAAUGCUGGGGUUGUAGGACUGUAAUAUUUGAGCCAUGAUGAAUUAGAACGCUUUGGAAAGAGCGACCAGAGAGGGUGAUAGUCCCGUAUAGGUAAAGAAUGGUAAGAUAACAGUAUCCUGAGUGGUGCGGGGCACGUGAAACCCUGUAUGAAUUUGGCGGGACCAUCC